UGGGGAAUAUUGCACAAUGGGCGCAAGCCUGAUGCAGCCAUGCCGCGGGUGUGAAGAAGGCCUUCGGGUUGUAAAGCACUUUCAGCGGGGAGGAAGGCGGUGAGGUUAAUAACCUCAUCGAUUGACGUUACCCGCAGAAGAAGCACCGGCUAACUCCGUGCCAGCAGCCGCGGUAAUACGGAGGGUGCAAGCGUUACUCGGAAUUACUGGGCGUAAAGCGCACGCAGGCGGUCUGUCAAGUCGGAUGUGAAAUCCCCGGGCUCAACCUGGGAACUGCAUUCGAAACUGGCAGGCUAGAGUCUUGUAGAGGGGGGUAGAAUUCCAGGUGUAGCGGUGAAAUGCGUAGAGAUCUGGAGGAAUACCGGUGGCGAAGGCGGCCCCCUGGACAAAGACUGACGCUCAGGUGCGAAAGCGUGGGGAGCAAACAGG
rnacentral:rRNA from 1 species